UACAGGCAGGGAGCGAGAAAGAGAAAGAAAAAAUAGUGGAGAGGGGGAGGAAUUAAAAAAUGGGGGCAGGGAGCCAGACAGAGUGCGACGGGGAGAGACCAAAAUUAGCAAUUCUGGGCAACUGCCCCCAUUUCUUGAGCACUCCCCAGGAAAUGCAUUACCGGGAGCCUCAAGGAAUGUGCUGCCUGCCAAAGCCCUGCCCUGGCCCCAGUCCUGUGCCCUAGUAUUGGUGACGAGCAUUGCCUUGCAUAGUGGCCAGGACUGAGGGAAGAAAAGGACAGCUGGGGGGAAAAAAAUCACCGAGCUGGGUUUUGGUUUUGUUUUGGUUUUUUUUUUCUUGAUGGUUUUGCUUUUAAAAAGAAUAGUAUUUAAGCUCUAAAUACAAACUGCAAGGAAAAAGGAACCAGGCGUACCAGUCUGGACACAUUUAAAGCCUGAACCCAUUCAACAGCUGCACCACCCACCACUCCUGCUGCCCACACUCCACCGCCUGCCUGCAGGCUGGGUUAAAGACUCAUCCAUCAAGUGCUGGCUCAGGACCAUGCCGGGGCAAAUGGCACUGCUUUUCUGGAUCCCAUGGCAGCGAUGGGCAAAGGAACAGGGAGACCCAGUGGAGUCGUAGCGUGCGCUGGAGAGUGUUCUUCAGGAAGGUGACAGCCGAUUGCAGAGCAACGCUGAGACGCACCUGACAGCAAAGGUGCCCGGUGGCCACGGACGAGCCUAGGAAGCAUGGCAUGCACCAAGCACACCCAGAGCUGCGCCCGUGCCAGGAGAAGACUUCAAGCACAGGCGGGGCUGAUGGCAACAGUUCCCACCAGCUGUCCAGCUCCAGAAGAUGCAGAAAGGAAAUUCAGUCUUAGACAUUCAGUUGCAGAAGAAAGUUU